UACGUAGGGGGCAAGCGUUGUCCGGAUUUAUUGGGCGUAAAGCGCGUGUAGGCGGCCAGAAAAGUCCGCUGUGAAAACUCGAGGCUCAACUUCGAGCUGUCGGUGGAAACUUUCUGGCUAGAGUCCGGAAGAGGAGAAUGGAAUUCCUGGUGUAGCGGUGAAAUGCGCAGAUAUCAGGAAGAACACCCGUGGCGAAGGCGGUUCUCUGGGACGGUAC
rnacentral:rRNA from 1 species